rnacentral:lncRNA from 1 species
CGAUCCUCUUCCUCAAGCUUCCAUGUAUUCUCCAUUGUGUAACCUUGAACCACAACUACCACGAGCUCCAAUCGUCAUCAGUAGAUCAUCCCCACCAUGACCUUCUUCUCUCCACCUACUUUUUGAGCCACAUCUGCGUCAAUUUCCCACGGUGAGCUCCUCCCACCACUCCCCCCCCUCCAUACGCUCAGCUUACGCCAUGGCACUCAUGAGCACUGGAGCUGCUCUCACUGACUACUGUUGCAGCGAGUUCCAGUCUCCGUUCACUCUUUCAUCCGCAGCCACCGAAAUCAGUAACCCUUCCUCCAUUGCACUGUUGUAUCUUUUUCUUCAUCAGCCGCGAUUUCUGUAAACUUGAUUUUACAUGAGCCCU